AGUGAACGCUGGCGGCGUGGAUAAGGCAUGCAAGUCGAACGGUAGCACAGAGAGCUUGCUCUCGGGUGACGAGUGGCGGACGGGUGAGUAACGUCUGGGAAACUGCCCGAUGGAGGGGGAUAACUACUGGAAACGGUAGCUAAUACCGCAUAACGUCGCAAGACCAAAGUGGGGGACCUUCGGGCCUCACACCAUCGGAUGUGCCCAGAUGGGAUUAGCUAGUAGGUGGGGAAAUGGCUCACCUAGGCGACGAUCCCUAGCUGGUCUGAGAGGAUGACCAGCCACACGGGAACUGAGACACGGUCCAGACUCCUACGGGAGGCAGCAGUGGGGAAUAUUGCACAAUGGGCGCAAGCCUGGUGCAGCCAUGUCGCGUGUAUGAAGAAGGCCUUCGGGUUGUAAAGUACUUUCAGCGGGGAGGAAGGCGGUGAAGUUAAUAGCUUCACCGAUUGACGUUACCCGCAGAAGAAGCACCGGCUAACUCCGUGCCAGCCGCCGCAGUAA
rnacentral:rRNA from 1 species